rnacentral:rRNA from 1 species
AUUGAACGCUGGCGGCAUGCCCUACACAUGCAAGUCGAACGGUAACAGGUUAAGCUGACGAGUGGCGAACGGGUGAGUAAUGUAUCGGAACGUGCCCAGUCGUGGGGGAUAACUACUCGAAAGAGUGGCUAAUACCGCAUACGACCUGAGGGUGAAAGCGGGGGACCGUAAGGCCUCGCGCGAUUGGAGCGGCCGAUAUCAGAUUAGCUAGUUGGUGGGGUAAAAGCCCACCAAGGCGACGAUCUGUAGCUGGUCUGAGAGGACGACCAGCCACACUGGGACUGAGACACGGCCCAGACUCCUACGGGAGGCAGCAGUGGGGAAUUUUGGACAAUGGACGCAAGUCUGAUCCAGCCAUGCCGCGUGCGGGAAGAAGGCCUUCGGGUUGUAAACGGCUUUUGUCAGGGAAGAAACGAGUUUCUCUAAUACAGAGACUUAAUGACGGUACCUGAAGAAUAAGCACCGGCUAACUACGUGCCAGCCGCCGCAGUAACAC